rnacentral:rRNA from 1 species
GACGAACGCUGGCGGCGUGCCUAAUACAUGCAAGUCGAACGAACCGCGACUAGGUGCUUGCACUUGGUCAAGGUGAGUGGCGAACGGGUGAGUAACACGUGGGUAACCUACCUCAUAGUGGGGGAUAACAGUCGGAAACGACUGCUAAUACCGCAUAGGACAUGGGAUCACAUGAUUCUGUGAGGAAAGGUGGCGCAAGCUAUCGCUAAGAGAUGGACCCGCGGUGCAUUAGCUAGUUGGUAGGGUAACGGCCUACCAAGGCGAUGAUGCAUAGCCGACCUGAGAGGGUGAUCGGCCACAUUGGGACUGAGACACGGCCCAAACUCCUACGGGAGGCAGCAGUAGGGAAUCUUCCGCAAUGGACGCAAGUCUGACGGAGCAACGCCGCGUGAGUGAAGAAGGUCUUCGGAUCGUAAAGCUCUGUUGUUAGAGAAGAACAGCGCAUAGAGUAACUGUUAUGCGUGUGACG